rnacentral:rRNA from 1 species
UACGAAGGGUGCAAGCGUUACUCGGAAUUACUGGGCGUAAAGCGUGCGUAGGCGGCCUUCUAAGUCGAACGUGAAAUCCCCGGGCUCAACCCGGGAACUGCGUCCGAUACUGGAAGGCUUGAAUCCGGGAGAGGGAUGCGGAAUUCCAGGUGUAGCGGUGAAAUGCGUAGAUAUCUGGAGGAACACCGGUGGCGAAGGCGGCAUCCUGGACCGGCAUUGACGCUGAGGCGCGAAAGCCAGGGGAGCAAACGGG